rnacentral:rRNA from 1 species
UACGGAGGGUGCAAGCGUUAUCCGGAUUCACUGGGUUUAAAGGGUGCGUAGGCGGGUUGGUAAGUCCGUGGUGAAAUCUCCGAGCUUAACUCGGAAACUGCCGUGGAUACUAUCAAUCUUGAAUAUCGUGGAGGUAAGCGGAAUAUGUCAUGUAGCGGUGAAAUGCUUAGAUAUGACAUAGAACACCGAUAGCGAAGGCAGCUUGCUACACAGUUAUUGACACUGAGGCACGAAAGCGUGGGGAGCAAACAGG